rnacentral:rRNA from 1 species
AGUGAACGCUGGCGGCAGGCCUAACACAUGCAAGUCGAACGGCAGCACAGUAAGAGCUUGCUCUUACGGGUGGCGAGAGGCGGACGGGUGAGGAAUACAUCGGAAUCUACUUUUUCGGGGGGGAUAACGUAGGGAAACUUACGCUAAUACCGCAUACGACCUACGGGUGAAAGCAGGGGAUCUUCGGACCUUGCGCGGUUGAAUGAGCCGAUGUCGGAUUAGCUAGUUGGCGGGGUAAAGGCCCACCAAGGCGACGAUCCGUAGCUGGUCUGAGAGGAUGAUCAGCCACACUGGAACUGAGACACGGUCCAGACUCCUACGGGAGGCAGCAGUGGGGAAUAUUGGACAAUGGGCGCAAGCCUGAUCCAGCCAUACCGCGUGGGUGAAGAAGGCCUUCGGGUUGUAAAGCCCUUUUGUUGGGAAAGAAAAGCAGCAGGUUAAGACCCCGCUGUUCUGACGGUACCCAAAGAAUAAGCACCGGCUAACUUCGUG